UACGUAGGGGGCAAGCGUUGUCCGGAUUUAUUGGGCGUAAAGAGCGUGUAGGCGGCCUGGAAGGUCAGCUGUGAAAACUCGAGGCUCAACCUCGAGACGUCGUUUGAAACCACCUGGCUAGAGUCCGGAAGAGGAGAGUGGAAUUCCCGGUGUAGCGGUGAAAUGCGCAGAUAUCGGGAAGAACACCCGUGGCGAAGGCGGCUCUCUGGGAAGGUACUGACGCUGAGACGCGAAAGCGUGGGGAGCGAACAGG
rnacentral:rRNA from 1 species